UACGGAGGGUGCGAGCGUUGUUCGGAAUCACUGGGCGUAAAGGGCGUGUAGGCGGUCCGCUAAGUCUGAUGUGAAAGCCCGGGGCUCACCCCCGGAAGGGCAUUGGAAACUGGCGGACUCGAGUCCCGGAGAGGAAGGUGGAAUUCCUGGUGUAGCGGUGAAAUGCGUAGAUAUCAGGAGGAAUACCGGUGGCGAAGGCGGCCUUCUGAACGGUGACUGACGCUGAGACGCGAAAGCGUGGGGAGCAAACAGG
rnacentral:rRNA from 1 species